UACGGAGGGUGCAAGCGUUAUCCGGAUUCACUGGGUUUAAAGGGUGCGUAGGUGGGUUGGUAAGUCAGUGGUGAAAUCUCCGAGCUUAACUUGGAACUGCCGUUGAUACUAUCAAUCUUGAAUAUCGCGUAGGUAAGCGGAAUAUGUCAUGUAGCGGUGAAAUGCUUAGAUAUGACAUAGAACACCAAUUGCGAAGGCAGCUUACUUCACGAUCAUUGACACUGAGGCACGAAAGCGUGGGGAGCAAACAGG
rnacentral:rRNA from 1 species